GCCCUUAGAGUUUGAUCCUGGCUCAGAUUGAACGCUGGCGGUAUGCUUAACACAUGCAAGUCGAACGGUAGCAGGUCCAGCUUGCUGGAUGCUGACGAGUGGCGGACGGGUGAGUAACGCGUAGGAAUCUACCUUGUAGUGGGGGAUAACCUGGGGAAACCCAGGCUAAUACCGCAUAAGUCUUAAGGGAGAAAGCUGGGGACCUUCGGGCCUAGCGCUAUAAGAUGAGCCUGCGCCAGAUUAGCUAGUUGGUGGGGUAAAGGCCUACCAAGGCGAAGAUCUGUAGCUGUUCUGAGAGGAAGAUCAGCCACACUGGGACUGAGACACGGCCCAGACUCCUACGGGAGGCAGCAGUGGGGAAUAUUGGACAAUGGGCGAAAGCCUGAUCCAGCAAUACCGCGUGUGUGAAGAAGGCCUGCGGGUUGUAAAGCACUUUCAGUGGGGAGGAAGGCUUUAAGGUUAAUAACCUUGAGGAUUGACGUUACCCACAGAAGAAGCACCGGCUAACUCUGUGCCAGCAGCCGCGGUAAUAAGGGCG
rnacentral:rRNA from 1 species